GAUAAACGCUGGCGGCGCACAUAAGACAUGCAAGUCGAACGAACUUAAUUCGAAAGUUUACUUUUGGAAGCGGUUAGUGGCGGACUGGUGAGUAACACGUAAGUAACCUGCCUAUUAGAGGGGAAUAACAGUGAGAAAUCAUUGCUAAUACCGCAUACACCAAAACUAUCGCAUGAUAGAGUUGGGAAAGGAGAAAUCCGCUAAUAGAUGGACUUGCGCCUGAUUAGCUAGUUGGUGAGGUAAUGGCUCACCAAGGCGACGAUCAGUAGCCGGACUGAGAGGUUGAACGGCCACAUUGGGACUGAGAUACGGCCCAGACUCCUACGGGAGGCAGCAGUCGGGAAUAUUGCGCAAUGGAGGAAACUCUGACGCAGUGACGCCGCGUAUGGGAAGAAGGUUUUCGGAUUGUAAACCAUUUUAGACAGGGAAGAAUAAAUGACAGUACCUGUAGAAUAAGCUCCGGCUAACUACGUGCCAGCAGCCGCCGUAACAC
rnacentral:rRNA from 1 species